CAAAGGCCUAAACUUAACACUCUGCUCAGGAAACGGAGGGCUUCAUUUCGGUGUCUGUCCAGGCCACAGCCUAAUGGGUCAUUAAAUAAACUCGAGAGGAGAAACAGCCACGGGAAGAAGGAAAGCCGCUCCCUAGCUGAAUAAACUGAGAUCCAGAGAGGAACUGAAGGACUGAGGCCUCGGCUGCUGGGAUUCCAUGGGCUUCCCCAGUUUUCCAGGGAAACUCACGAAGGUGGACCUGAGAUCUAUUUCAAGCUGGUUCCCAGCCUCGCUGUGGGACCACCAGGAGCUCACCUGCCCUCUCUGGACUCCAGUCUCACCUCUCUCAGGGAAUCAGAGGAGUUGGAUUAGAAAUAGCCAGUAUCAGAGCUCAAGACAACUGACCAGUGAUUGAGGAAUUUUAGUUCUCCAUUACGAAGACUCAGUGAUGCUCUCCCAUUCCGUACGUACACAGCCCACAGAACACAACAUGCAGUUGCCUGUGCCUACGCAUCACACACCCUCUGGGACGCAGGCAUGGCAGACACCCGGCAUCAAUGCGCUGCUUCAGGGCGGUCCGUCCCAGGGGCGGCUUUGAUGGGCGUCUCUGGAGAAAUCUACUCCGUGGGGUUCGUGGGCUCAAGACCUUGGAAAACUUUCUGAAAUGUCGUUGACCAGCUUGGCUGACAUAUUAAUUUGCCUCCUGUUUCCAUUUUCUU